GUUCACGAGUCGUGGCUAUCGGUACCUGGCCGGCCACGCGGCAACCCGUCAUCGACCGGGUGCCCCAGGGAAAGAACGGGCCCGCACCACGUGGUGCUGGCAAGAUUCGAUC
rnacentral:ncRNA from 17 species